GGCCUCGUGGCCCAAUGGCAAGGCGUCUGACUACGAGAGAGAACUGGUUGAAAAAUGAGUUCUUCACCAAUAAUCAGGAGAUUCUGGGUUCGACCCCCAGCGAGGUCA